UAGCAGGUGGCCUAGUGGUAAGAGUUUGGGAUUAAGGCUCCUGUGAUCUCAGGUUCGAUCCCUGUGGUUGCUAU